AAAACAUCUUUUCUUGUUAGUUUCUGAAGUAUGGCCUGCCCGCUGACGUAUUUUGAGUUGAAGGGCCGCGGUAUUUUGACCGUGCAAAGGUAGCAUAGUCAUUAGUUCUUUAAUUGUGAUCUGGUAUGAAUGGCUUGACGAGACAUGGGCUGUCUUGGGUGUGAAUUUGUUGUUGAAUUUGGAGUUUAAGUUAAAAUUCUUAGAUGUUUUUAUGGGACGAGAAGACCCUAUAGAGUUUGACAUUUGAUUGCGUAUUUCUUGUUGUUUGUUUUGAAUUUUUGUGCAUCUCUUGUUUUGUUGGGGUGAUGGGAGGAAUUUAUUUAACUCCUCUUUUAUGUGGU
rnacentral:rRNA from 1 species